UUAUUAUUUAUUCAUUUACAUUAGUAGAAAAAUAAUAUCUUUAUAUAAAGCUUUAAUAGAAACCAUCAUUGAAUAAGGUAUUGUUUGGAUAAACAACUUCAUUUGUAGCUUAUAGCAUAAGUGCUUAUUAUGAUAAAUGCUUAUGUAUAAGCUAUUUCUAUAUCAAAAGAUAAAAUAAAGUUAAACUGUUUUCACAUCAGCCAUAAGCUAUUUUAUGUGUUUUUGUAGUCAGUCUCACAAGUGUAUAUGCCAAUAGAUAAGAACAAAUAAGCCGAUCCAAAUUUUGUGUAUAUGGCAUUCCGUGUUAAUUCCAUGUAAGAUGUAUUACAACAGUCAACAGUUGGCUUACUAGAAAAUAUUGGUGACAUCUAAAGUGCAAAGCAAGAGAAACUAGUACCCAAAAGAGUUGCAUUCAGUAUUUGAGUACUAACAGAAGUCAGAAGAUAUGCAUUUAUACUACGUUACAAGCUGAUGAAAGGAGAAUAACUAGGUUACCUUGGGCCAGUGUUGUCAAUCGAGGAAUAUAACUGUUAGUUAGCACUGUUAUAGCUACUAUUGGACAACACUAGUACUAAACAUGUAUAGCAGAACAAUGGUGGUUUGUUAAAAUCCUACUACGCUAUAACAUUGUAGCACACCACUAUUUGACAACAUUACCUUGAAGGAGCUUGGAAGAGCGUAGUUGGGGUUACUUAUGACAUACAUAAACAUAAGUACUAGCGUAGAUGUUUGGAAGUUUAUGAAUAUUACUUAUUAUAUGUCCAUAGGUUAGGUUACUUUCAACUAAUUUUGAUAAACUCUUUCAAAUAGCUUAUUGUCUUCAGUUGUUUUCAGCUUAUGCAGUUCACUCGCAUUUCCUCUCUGAUUAUAGUUUCUAUGAUCAAAGAGGCAAUGAGAGAUACAACAUACACAAACUCUUACACAAUAAGAGCUUAUUGAAUAAACACUUAAUUAAAUCGUAUAUUCAAACACAGCCUAGCAUUUUGAGCACUUCAUCUCUCACAUUAGCAGACGAAACUAGAAACAAACAAAAAUUUCUCUAAUAUAGUGUAUGUUUGAAUUGACUUAUUUAAGCUAAUCUACUGCCACAAGUAAGUGUGUUUGAAUUGACUUAUUUAAGCUAAUCUAUUGUCAUAAGCAAUUGUGAGACUAUUUGGAAGAGCAUAUGGAUCACCUUAUGACAUGUCCAUAAGCUUUUUUCAACUUCUUUCAGUAAAUUCUCCAGAUAAUUUAAGAAACCAGCUUAUAGCAAAUAUGAAACAGUUUGACUUCAUUUUAUCUUUUAUUAGAAACAGUUCAUAGCUUAAUUAAAUUGUUUAUCCAAACAGGGCAUAUAUGCAUGAAACUAAUCUUACAAUAACAAGACACAUGAAAUACUAUUCAUUUACUAAGCAAAAUACAAAUAAACAAACAAAAAAUCAAAAUUUCCUAAAGAAAUAUUCACAUCUUCCACGUAAAAAUAAAAUAAAGGGCAUCAUUCAAACAACCAAAACUAUAACAAAUAGACGGUUAAGAUUUGGUGUCAAAUUAAAGUUUGACACCUGGUGUCAACGGAUCCUAUCUCUAACAAUAAAAACUCAAAAGCUAAAAAAAAAAGGCAAAAAUGAUUUACCUUGAGAAUCCACAAACUAUCCAAAGCUUCUUCCCAACCUCCACCAUAUCCUUCAUCAAUUUCUUCUGGAUACUCAUCAGACCACCACCUCCUCUUCUUCCCAUAUUCAUCAUCAUCAUC
rnacentral:lncRNA from 1 species